rnacentral:tRNA from 1 species
GGGCGUAUGGCGCAGCUGGUUAGCGCGUCUGCUCGACACGCAGGAGGUCACAGGUUCGAGUCCUGUUACGCCCA